rnacentral:lncRNA from 1 species
CGGCUACCCGACGCCGACGCCGAAGCCGCCGGCCAAGGGGCCCAAGCCGGAGAAGCCCCCGACCAAGGGCCACGGCCACAAGCCGGAGAAGCCGCCCAAGGAGCACAAGCCGACUCCGCCCACCUACACCCCGAGCCCCAAGCCCACGCCGCCGCCGGCUACUCCCAAGCCGACGCCGCCCACCUACACGCCGAGCCCUAAGCCCAAGUCGCCGGUCUACCCUCCCCCGCCGAAAGCCAGUACUCCUCCGACCUACACCCCGAGCCCCAAGCCUCCGGCGACCAAGCCGCCUACCUACCCGACCCCCAAGCCACCAGCUACCAAGCCUCCGACACCUCCUGUGUACACUCCGAGCCCCAAACCACCGGUUACAAAGCCUCCUACACCCAAGCCGACCCCGCCGGUGUACACGCCGAACCCCAAGCCACCGGUUACCAAGCCUCCGACACACACGCCGAGCCCCAAGCCUCCGACAUCCAAGCCGACUCCGCCGGUGUACACACCGAGCCCCAAGCCACCGAAGCCGUCCCCGCCGACGUACACGCCGACCCCGAAGCCACCGGCUACCAAGCCGCCCACCUCAACUCCGACGCACCCUAAGCCGACGCCGCACACGCCUAUCCCCAAGCCCACGCCGCCAACCUACAAGCCGGCACCGAAGCCGACGCCGCCGGCGCCCACCCCGCCGACAUACACGCCGCCGGUGUCGCACACCCCCAGCUCGCCGCCGCCGCCGCCGCCGCCGC